rnacentral:misc_RNA from 1 species
GUUUUUCUCCUCCUUCCGCAAUCUCUUCAGCAUGGUUACUUCCAAUUUCUUCAUUAUCUUCCGUAUGAUUAACCAUUUGGACUGGUUGUUCAAGAUACUCUUCGACUUCGCCUACAAAACACUCUAUUCGGUCAUGCUCUUCCUCCAUUUUUUCUGCGGCUAAUUCACAAGUUUCAUGCUUUCUUUCUUCCUCUAUUUCCUCCGGAUUCUCUUCGACUUCAUUGA